UUCCCGUCGUUCGCCGCGGAUGUAGCCAAGUGGAUCAAGGCAGUGGAUUGUGGAUCCACCAUGCGCGGGUUCAA
rnacentral:tRNA from 1 species